GUGAGGAAUUUUCCGCAAUGGGCGAAAGCCUGAUGGAGCAAUGCCGCGUGAAGGAUGAAGGCCUAUGGGUUGUAAACUUCUUUUCUUAGAGAAGAAUAUUGACGGUAUCUGAGGAAUAAGCAUCGGCUAACUCUGUGCCAGCAGCCGCGGUAAGACAGAGGAUGCAAGCGUUAUCCGGAAUGAUUGGGCGUAAAGCGUCUGUAGGUGGCUUCAAAAGUCUCCUGUCAAAGAUCAGGGCUUAACCCUGGGCCGGCAGGAGAAACUCUGAGGCUAGAGUUUGGUAGGGGCAGAGGGAAUUCCCGGUGGAGGGGUGAAAUGCGUAGAGAUCGGGAGGAACACCAAAGGCGAAAGCACUCUGCUGGGCCACAACUGACACUGAGAGACGAAAGCGAGGGGAGCAAAAGGGAUUAGAUACCCGAGUAGUCC
rnacentral:rRNA from 1 species